CCUGUAAUGCAAUGUGAUUUAUAGUGCGCUUAAUGCUGCUGCAGUAUACGGAGAAAGCGCCGGCGAGGAGGUCGGAUGCUGUGUGCAUAUAGUACGGUGCUGGAUAUGUGCACGAGGUGUAAUUUGUCUCCAGCAGACUCGAGGGAGGGAUCUACACCUAGGUGUUUCCGGCGGUCACAUGACAUUUAAUUGCGGCGUGCCCACCCGGAGCCCCGCCCCCUCCCAUGCCUCACCGCUGCCUGUGGUGUUGCCUGCGUAAUUUGCUCUGGCAGCCUGUUUAGGAUGGAAAUGUAUGGGGGCAGUGCCACCUGCUCCUCCUCCCCCCAAGCCCCUCAGCUUGGCCACUAAUCGCCGUGGAUGAGGCAGAUGACGCUGGCUUGUAAUCGCCAUCCCCAGAGUGCCGGUCCCACGCCGUUCCUACCCAACCUAACCCCCACAUCCACAUCUCAAGGGGAGAAUUGUGUCUCCCUGAUGAUGCAUUCACUGGCCAGCCUGGAGAACAGAGAGUGAUGGACAGUAGCAAGACAGGGUGACAGAGAGUGAAAGAUGCAGAGAUAUUUUACUUUACUUUUGAUUGAACAGUUCUAUUUCCGCUGAAAAUGACACGGCACACGUCCCCAAAAACAGAACACACUCCUCAAAAAAGAAGUGCGGAGAGCUGCACUCAGCUAAUCCCUAUGCAGUCAUAUUUCACGUCAUUUCCUCUUGCGCCUCUGAUGCAAAGGAAUCUUAUUUUGAAAAUUAAGUUCAGUGAUUAAAAGUAAGAAAGAGAAUGUGGAUAUAGACAAAAGCUGGGUGACUGUUACCUCACACACCUGUCGGAAUAAAGACUAUUCCUGGGA